GGGUGAGAAUCCGUACGUGGUCGCUAGCUUCGCGUGUAAAGCCCCUUCGACGAGUCGAGUUGUUUGGGAAUGCAGCUCUAAAUGGGAGGUAAAUUUCUUCUAAAGCUAAAUACUGGCCAGAGACCGAUAGCGCACAAGUAGAGUGAUCGAAAGAUGAAAAGCACUUUGGAAAGAGAGUCAAAUAGCACGUGAAAUUGUUGAAAGGGAAGCGCUUGCAGCCAGACUUGCCUGUAGUUGCUUAUCUGGACUUUUGUCCGGUGCACUCUUCUGCGGGCAGGCCAGCAUCAGUUUGGGCGGUUGGAUAAAGGUCUCUGUCAUGUACCUCCUUUCGGGGAGGCCUUAUAGGGGAGACGACAUGCAACCAGCCUGGACUGAGGUCCGCGCAUCUGCUAGGAUGCUGGCGUAAUGGCUGUAAGCGGCCCGUCUUGAAACACGGACCAAGGAGUCUAACAUCUAUGCGAGUGUUUGGGUGUCAAGCCCAGACGCGUAAUGAAAGUGAACGGAGGUGGGAACCCUUUGGGUGCACCAUCGACCGAUCCUGAUGUCUUCGGAUGGAUUUGAGUAAGAGCAUGGCUGUUGGGACCCGAAAGAUGGUGAACUAUGCUUGAAUAGGGUGAAGCCAGAGGAAACUCUGGUGGAGGCUCGCAGCGGUUCUGACGUGCAAAUCGAUCGUCAAAUUUGGGCAUAGGGGCGAAAGACUAAUCGAACUU
rnacentral:rRNA from 1 species